rnacentral:rRNA from 1 species
UACAGAGGUGGCAAGCGUUGAUCGGAAUCACUGGGCUUAAAGGGCGUGUAGGCGGUUCGGUAAGUGUCCUGUGAAAUCUCUCGGCUCAACCGGGAAAUCGCAGGACAAACUGCCAAACUUGAGGUCGGUAGGGGUGUCUGGAACUCUGGGUGUAGCGGUGAAAUGCGUAGAUAUCCAGAGGAACGCCCGCGGCGAAAGCGGGACACUGGGCCGAUUCUGACGCUGAGGCGCGAAAGCAUGGGGAGCAAACAGG